rnacentral:rRNA from 1 species
AGUGAACGCUGGCGGCGUGCCUAAUACAUGCAAGUCGAACGGAAUUUAAAAGAGCUUGCUCUUUUAAAUUUAGUGGCGCACGGGUGAGUAAUAUAUAGCUAAUCUGCCCCUUGCUGGAGGACAACAGUUAGAAAUGACUGCUAAUACUCCAUACUCCUUUUUACCAUAAGAUAAAUCGGGAAAGAAUUUCGGCAAGGGAUGAGACUAUAUCGUAUCAGCUAGUCGGUGGGGUAACGGCCUACCGAGGCUAUGACGCGUAACUGGUCUGAGAGGAUGAUCAGUCACAUUGGAACUGAGACACGGUCCAAACUCCUACGGGAGGCAGCAGUAGGGAAUAUUGCGCAAUGGGGGAAACCCUGACGCAGCAACGCCGCGUGGAGGAUGACACUUUUCGGAGCGUAAACUCCUUUUGUUAGGGAAGAAAUAAGACGGUACCUAA